UUGAUUUUAUCUUGUCAUAUUCAUUACGUCACUGUGCUUGUAUGAGCUCCUUGUACAUGGUUGAGAAGUCCAAUUAUGUAGUUUCAAUAAUUUACUUUGAGCAUACUGAAUAUUACCAGUCCAUGUUUGUUCAUGCAUCUCCUUGAGGUCAAUAUGUCCUCAAUGAGGGAGUCAUAAGAAUCAUCUGGGACGGUCCAGGUCACAUUUGUUUAUGAGUGCUCACAAUGAAAGUUUGUCAUGAAAGACCUUGGCCCUCUGGUAUUUUAUGGUAUUUUCCCUGGAGUCCUUAUAGCAUUUGCUCUCUCAGUAAACAUAUUAUUCAUGUGAUGAUGCGCACACUUUACUAGUUCUAGAAAUCAUAACAGCAAAGAAUCAGGAUUCAAGGGUCAGUGUUUUUUUUUGUGAUCUAACAUCACCCCGUCAAUAAUUUAUUUGUCCUUACCAUUGUCAGGUCGAAAUGCUAAGAUCAUGCAUGUGGUUGGUUCAUUGCUUCCUCAUGUACUGCUCAGUAUUUUAUUGAAAUGCUUAUAUUUCUCUGCAUCACCCAUGGCUUUUACUUGCCCUCCUCUUUUCAAACUUAACUUUAAAAUUACUUGAAUGCCCAGUGGAACAGUUGUGUUAUAGAGCACUAAUUAAUGCACUACCUGAAAAUUUCAUUACCUCAUGGAAGUUCAAGUAGCAAGAUGAGUAGUGAAGCAAAAUAUUCUACCAUAUUUAUUGCUUAAAUGCAUUUAUUGUUCAUACAAUAAUUACCAUUCCUCCUUUCCAACUACUGGGUGGGACAAUCUGAGUGCUAGAUCAUCAAUAAUCCUGUUUUCUGUUCUUUUGAGCAUAAUUCUACAUAUUUGGUUGGGGAACAGAAAAUCAACUGUUUGCCUAGAAAAGGAAAAAAAGAACCGUAAGCAACCAUUUUUGGUUCAAAUCUUUGGUUCAUAUGAUUCAAAAUUUCAACUUUUCAUUGGAUCCAUGUGAUCUAUUUUCUAAACAAAGUUUGUGGUGAUUUAAUGGAGGACAUUA
rnacentral:lncRNA from 1 species